CCUACGGGAGACAGCAGUGAGGAAUAUUGGUCAAUGGGCUUACGCCUGAACCAGCCAAGUCGCGUGAGGGAAGACUGCCCUAUGGGUUGUAAACCUCUUUUGUCAGGGAGCAAUUGGCGCUACGUGUAGCGUUAUCGAGAGUACCUGAAGAAAAAGCAUCGGCUAACUCCGUGCCAGCAGCCGCGGUAAUACGGAGGAUGCGAGCGUUAUCCGGAUUUAUUGGGUUUAAAGGGUGCGUAGGCGGAAUGCCAAGUCAGCGGUAAAAUCGCGGGGCUCAACCUCGCUCCGCCGUUGAAACUGGCGUUCUUGAGUGGGCGAGAAGUAUGCGGAAUGCGUGGUGUAGCGGUGAAAUGCAUAGAUAUCACGCAGAACUCCGAUUGCGAAGGCAGCAUACCGGCGCCCGACUGACGCUGAGGCACGAAAGCGUGGGGAUCGAACAGGAUUAGAUACCCUGGUAGUC
rnacentral:rRNA from 1 species